rnacentral:lncRNA from 1 species
AAUUGAAAGAGUUCGAAACUGACCGAGAACAGCGGUAGCUCCUAGGAGGGUAUCAGCUCCGGCGUACUUGCAAGACUUGCAAUAAACGACGCCUUGAACUUCAACAAGGCUCCUAGGGAAACGAUGGGUGGGUGUGGGUGGGUGAGCAGGAGCAACGUGCGGUGGAGGUGGGUGAGCAGGAGCAACGUGUGGUGGAGGUGGGUGAGCAGGAGCAACGUGUGGUGGAGGUGGGUGGGCAGGAGCAACGUGUGAAGGUGGGUGAGCAGGUGCAUGAGCGGGAGUGUGAGCCGGUGCAUGAGCCGGCGGGUGGGGGUGGUGGUGAUGAUGGUGGUGGCUUGGGGCGUGAGCCGGUGGGGCAGUAGGAGGGUGGCUGUGGUGGUGGUGGUGGUGGUGAUGGUGGGGGCUUGGUGCCGUUGCCGGGGUUACCGAGUGGUAGUGUGAUGGUGGCAUAGCCAUGGAACUCUCAGUGUAAACCUGUUCACCAUACACAGUGAAGCUGCAGCCGGCUAAGACCAAACAAACAUGAACAACAAUCAGUAAAGCUUUACCCAUUUUGUUUUGUUUUUUUUUUUCAGUCUUCUUUUAUCUCUAGUAAAGAAGAUGGCCAGCCAACUAGGGGGAGGGUGAGAGAGUGAGAGAGAUCGAGAGAGGUGGUGAAAACGAUCUCCGAUUGGGGGAAUUUAUAGGGGUUUUAACCCGUGAUUCUCUGCGGUUUUUUGUGAUAAAAUUUUUAUUUUAUAAUAUGGUGGUGGGGCUAUUAUUAUGCAUUAUGCUGUGAGGUGGACACAAACAUAAUGCAAAAGAAGAGAGAUAAUGAGAUAAUGCAAGAUUGAUUCGUUAAUUUGUUUUAGCGUUUGGUUGAGGCCCAAAUAAAAUUUGUUGAAUUUUUUUUUUAAUUUUAAAUCUAAUAUUAAAGUCUAAUGAUAUUCAUAAUACUGAUAUUCAAUGUCAAAUGUGUAGACAACUUCUAACAUCUCAAAUUGACUCCCAUAAUGUGUGUGUAUAUUAUUCAAGGAGACUUAAAAGGUCAUUCCACAUGUGUUGUGUGUAGAAAAAGAGUGACUAAUGAGUAGGGAUGGUAAAUUAAUCCGGACCAGGAUUGGACCCGGAUAAUCCGGUCCGGGUUUAACCCGUACCGGAAGGUAAUACAAUGCGGAUCCGAAAAGGAUAUUUUGAACCCGGAUAUAUUCCGGUCCGGAUCCGGUUUAUCUUAACCCGGAUGUCCGAAACCCGGACCCGAAUAAUUUAAUUAUAAAAGAAAAAAAAAAACCUAAUGCCUUAAGUCUUAACCUACUGCAGCCGCUUCUUUCUUCUCCAAUUUCUCUUUCUUUCUCCUCCAUCUUCUCUUUUCAUUAAAACAAACCCACUGCAGCUGCUUUCUUUCUUCUCCAAUUUCUCUUUCAUUCACUCAAAUGACUUGGAAAAAUCUUUGUAUUGAAAGGAAGACAAAGAGGAAUGCACCCAUUAAGGCUUAUACUCAUUUUUUGUCACUCUUGCUGGUUUUUGACAGCUACUUUCCGCCACUCUUGCUGAUUUUUUGUCACCAGAAAUUGCCGAAUCUCCACAGCAACUUUUUGACGAUGCUCUCCUCGACGCCGACGACAACACCAAUGCCACCAAAAAUCUGAAAACUCAGCAAUCCUCCCUCAACAUUCAUUUAGCUAUGGUUUCAGGAUUUUGGUGAUUUGAGAUUUGGAGAUUUGAGGAAGUAACAUCAAGAGAAAAAAAAAAAUUGUAAUAGAUAUGCGGGUUUAGAACCUGCAAUCCAAAAAUUUGACUUUUUCUGGGUUCAAUCCGAUUCGGACCUACAAUAAAAAUAUCCAGAUUAUAUCCAGAUCCGGUAUAACAAAAUUAUCAUUCGGAUUCAGAAUCGAAAAGACUGGACUCGAACCCGGAUCCAGAUUUUGCCAUCCCUAAUAAUGAGUGGGUUCCAUACGUUAUUUUACUUACUAGGGAAAAAUUAUACCGGUGGAGGAUUUUAAAAGGAUAAUUAGGAAUACAAGGUGAUUAAAUCCCAAGAGAUCGUUGUAAACAAGUGGCUCAGAGAUUCACAUGCAGAGGUGAGACCGUGCGAGUGGGCUCCGGAAUUUUGGCACAUGUAGCGAGGCAAUGUAGAAGUUUCCGAUGUUUCUUUGGUUACUGAACCUCUCGUCUUUAUUUUUUUAAAAUUAAAUUAAAUAGUACGUUGAUUCUUUGGUUUGGGAAAUUAAUGAUAUUUACUAAAACUCUUGGUAAAUGGUAAAUAAGAUGAAUGAUUGGUAUGGGCCCAACCAAAAAGUAAUGGCAAGUGAUAAAAUUUCGAGCUCUUUGUGGAUAAAGAAAGAAUAUUGUACGUUACAAUAAUUUUUGACGUUGAAGUUCCUGUGUUUCACAAGAAAAGUGAAAAUAAAAUAAAGCAACCUUAAUUUCCUCCGUUAUUAAAAAUAUUAUAAUAUUUUAAAAAUAUAUUAAUUAUUUAUUUUAAAUUAAUAAAAUAUAUUUAUUAUCUAUUAAAUUAUUAAUUAACGUUGAAAGAUAAUGACAUUAGAAGGGUAAUUUAAUAUUUUCACACGAUAUAAAAAAUAAUAAAAGAAUUUAAGAAUAUAAAAAUGAUAAUUUAAAAGUACGUAAGUGAUAAUAAGAUAAUUUAAGAGUAUAUAAAUAAUAAUUUUUUUAUUUUAAUUUAAAUUUCAAAAAUAAAAUAUCAAUUCGCUGUAUUAACUUUCAGAUGGUAACUAAUGAUUUAGUUAUUAGUAUAUAUAUUUUGUCAACUUAAAAUGAACGAUUAAUAUUAUUUUUUACAACAAAACAAAUAUAAGGUAUAAAAUGAUAAUUUCCCUAACAUAAAUAAAGAAAUGAAACACUAUUUUCGCUUUUGCCACUUUCGUUUUCGGUUUCGAAUUAUCGUCGGAGUCUAGAAACUAGGUUGUGUAUUUAUUAUAUGUGCUCUGUUUUUAUUUGUUUAUCUUUUCUCUGUUCUGACACCUUAGAAAACUUAAUCAGAAAACGACAUGGCAAGGAGAAAAGAAAAUAUUAUACUAGGGUUAUUGAUAUUAAAUCAGAGCUAGAAUUAGCCUUAGGGUUCCUUCUUUUAAACCCUAAAAAUUGAAAACUCAAGUUUAUUAUUUAUCGUAAUAUAAUUAAAUUCCGACAAAGUUAAAUAAUGGGUUCAUUUGAUGGGUAAGUCGUGUAAAAUUUAUCAAUCGUUUUUCGCGUAAAAUUAAUAGUAGAAAUUUCCAAAUCUAAGCGAAUGUCAAAUUUGGUCCAACGCAUGAAAUAAAUUAAAACUCUGGAGAUGAUAACUUUCUAGAUAAUGUAAUUGAGCUUUUUAUAUAUGGAACUGCAAAUGUAAUUCCUCUGUCCCGCAUUUCGGUCCUUUUAUAGAAGGUUAGAUAUUAUAUUUUGAUGAACUAUUAUUUGAACUAAUUAAAUAAUGAUCGCUCCUUGCACAUAUCCACUGGGAUGCGUUUCAAGAGACAGAAUGAUAUCUGCUGUACCGUACAUCCGCCUUGGCCGUACAGCAGAUUAAUAAAAUAUAUUUAUUAUCUAUUAAAUUAUUAAUUAACGUUGAAAGAUAAUGACAUUAGAAGGGUAAUUUAAUAUUUUCACACGAUAUAAAAAAUAAUAAAAGAAUUUAAGAAUAUAAAAAUGAUAAUUUAAAAGUACGUAAGUGAUAAUAAGAUAAUUUAAGAGUAUAUAAAUAAUAAUUUUUUUAUUUUAAUUUAAAUUUCAAAAAUAAAAUAUCAAUUCGCUGUAUUAACUUUCAGAUGGUAACUAAUGAUUUAGUUAUUAGUAUAUAUAUUUUGUCAACUUAAAAUGAACGAUUAAUAUUAUUUUUUACAACAAAACAAAUAUAAGGUAUAAAAUGAUAAUUUCCCUAACAUAAAUAAAGAAAUGAAACACUAUUUUCGCUUUUGCCACUUUCGUUUUCGGUUUCGAAUUAUCGUCGGAGUCUAGAAACUAGGUUGUGUAUUUAUUAUAUGUGCUCUGUUUUUAUUUGUUUAUCUUUUCUCUGUUCUGACACCUUAGAAAACUUAAUCAGAAAACGACAUGGCAAGGAGAAAAGAAAAUAUUAUACUAGGGUUAUUGAUAUUAAAUCAGAGCUAGAAUUAGCCUUAGGGUUCCUUCUUUUAAACCCUAAAAAUUGAAAACUCAAGUUUAUUAUUUAUCGUAAUAUAAUUAAAUUCCGACAAAGUUAAAUAAUGGGUUCAUUUGAUGGGUAAGUCGUGUAAAAUUUAUCAAUCAUUUUUCGCGUAAAAUUAAUAGUAGAAAUUUCCAAAUCUAAGCGAAUGUCAAAUUUGGUCCAACGCAUGAAAUAAAUUAAAACUCUGGAGAUGAUAACUUUCUAGAUAAUGUAAUUGAUUGUCCAAGUGAUUGAGCUUUUUAUAUAUGGAACUGCAAAUGUAAUUCCUCUGUCCCGCAUUUCGGUCCUUUUAUAGAAGGUUAGAUAUUAUAUUUUGAUGAACUAUUAUUUGAACUAAUUAAAUAAUGAUAUAAUUUUUAUUAUUUUAAUCGAGAUAUAAAUUAAAUAUUCUAAUUAAGCAAAUAUAGUAUUAUUUUUAUGUUUUCAUUGGCUUGAUUCUUGACCAAAUCAUCUUUCAGUACGCAUCCCUCAGUUGAUUACUGACAUGGCAUUAACCCUUCCCUGGUUGAGACGCAAGUAACAGGUACCUACUGGCGAUCGAGGUCGGUUGAAUUAUUUGAUGCAGUACAUCAUAAAAUUUUUUUACUAAAUUUGGUAUAGAUUAUAUCACAUUAACAUAAUUUUUUUAAUAAAAAUUUACUAAUGGUAUAUAAUUAAUAAUUCUUAAUUGACAUUUCUCUCUCCUACUUGUUUGCUUAUCCUUCCACCAUUUUUAUUUUAUUUUUUUCAUUUAUCUCUUACUUUGUGUUUUGUUUCAGCUUCUCAUAAACUCUUUCACUCCCAAUCUAUAAACAAAUAUUUUCAUGCAUUUGUCAUAGAAUUCCAGUUAAAUCAUAUAUUUUUGGUCCAACAGUACUUAUCGGAAAAAAAAUUAUUUCAACAAAAAAUCAUUGAUUUUUAUUUAAGCCCACAUUAAUUGAUCCACAUUUCCACACACAAGUAAAAUUAUACAACCUCGCAUACAAAAUGCAGCUUUUAAAGUUCAGAAGUUUCACUAUGCUCUGAUUUUACAAUCAUAAAGAUUGCAAAUAAUAUUUUUUUUUUAAUCAAAAAGGCAUAAAUGACAAAGCUUUUAUUAUAAUGAUCGGCCGAUGAAUCGCAUGUGCCAGAAGAGCCGAAGACAAACCCAGUAAAGCAGAAAAAACAAAAAAGUAUUAACUCAUAGGACAAGUUUAAUUAAUAAAAAUUAAUUAUAUUGAGUAAGAAAUAAGGAUCACUUAAAUUUUAUUUCUUCUUGUGUUUGGGGUAAAAGGAUUAUAUAUAGCUUUACUGAUGUAAUCAUCAUCAGGUAUGUGUAAUUUAUGAAGCUGCGUCCAUAACCGGAUCCACCAAGAAGUCACAUUUAAAUCGAACAGCUGUUUUUGUAUUCAAUCGAGAGAUUAUACAUUAGGCUUAGGGUUGCAGCACCUCAAUGGCGAGCUGAAAAUAAUAAAUUGUUGUUGACUUAGAAAUAUAAAAUGAAUUAGAAUGAUCGAGAUAAUCGGAUAUAACAGAUCAUAUUAUAAUAAAUACGAUCUGAUCCGAUGUAAUGGAGUUCGAUAAUAUCAAUACCGAUUGUGCGUAUAAGCCAAUAGCAGUUCUUGAUUUCUUGUAUUGUAUGAUUGUGUUGUAUCCAUUCGAUUCAAGCAUAAAAUAUAAAAAAUGAGACGGGUAUGAGUUGAGCAGUGCUGCAAAAGAAAAGAUGAUCGCCCACUCAGCCGCUUGGCAGUUUGCAUGCAGUCCAUGAGCAGCCAUUUUUCAUUCAGCUGCUCACCGUCCUUGGUCCUUAUUCCUAAUAUUUAUUACCCUAUCAACUAACUCUCUUGUAAUUUUUUUUUUUUUUUACAACAUCAAUGAUAUAAGUAACAUGUACUGUUGAAUCUAAUCAGCUGUACAAAUUAUUUCUAUUAAUAAUUUUUUUAAAAUAAUAGAACUAGUUAACAAUCGGUUCAAAAUGUGAUUUGAAAUUUAAAAAAAAAAGUAAAAAGAGAUAUGAUAAAAAUAAUAAUAUCUCGGGUUCUUUUAUUUAAAAUUAAACAAGUAUUACUUAUUUUAUAGCAUUUUGAUGUCGAAACAUAUGAACCGCUUUGAUUAUUUUAAUUGAUUUGAUAGUUAAUCCUUGUGACUUUGAGUCCUAUUAUCAAAUUGGGUUACUUUAAAAAAAAAAUGAAAGAGAAAGUGGUUGUGCAAGGGUUUAUCAAUGAUUAUUUUUUAGGUACUUAAACUUAUAUCUAAGGCUGAACCUUAUCUAAACUACUUGCUUUUGGUCGCCCGAGCACAGCCUGCCAACAAUUAUGGCGGUUGAAUUUGAAUGGAAGACUAGUAUUCUUUCCAAGCAGUGGACCUAAGAAAGGGCGAAGCAAGUGACUUUUACAAUUACUUUGCUUCUUCUGUUCAUUAAAAUACACUUUGCAUUUGACGUGUGGUUAUUUCAAGAUGAUUUGGUACCAAAACUUAUUUUUAAGUUAUGCCAAUUAAAUUCAAAAUAGCAAUAUUUAAUUGUUUUCAUUAUACCCCGGAAAUUCUUCUUUUGUUAAAUUAAAAUUAUGCAUAAUUUGAUUCUAUAAGAAUGUAGCCCGUAUAAUGGUCGACUUUUACCUAUCUAAUUCUUUGAAAUAUUUUAUAUUUGUAUGAAUAAUAUGAUCUUCCAGGGACUUUUAGUCGCUCAUGUGCUUUAUUUUGUUAUCCCUCGUAUAUUCUUUGGUUUCAUGAUUGUUGAUUUCAUGUAGAAGAUUUAUUUAUAUUUGUACAGGAAAGAUAGUUUUACUUUUCAAAUUAUCACAGGAGACUCUCUGCUUGUUAUUGACUUAUUAUUUCAUCAAUUGUGCUAGAUGAAGGAAAUGGAGUUCAAGAAGUUGUUCGAUACACAAAAUAUUGCUGCCUUGCUGCCUUUCGUAUUAAGAGGAAUCCGAUUCAGUGUGUUCUCCUUCCUCACUGCUCGUUGCCAGCUCUUGAAGUGCACCCAACAUUUACCGUACGAAAAGCGGUCUGCUGUACCGUACAUCCGCCUUGGCCGUACAGCAGAAUAAAAAUGAAAAUGAAAAUGGUGUUUUGCAAUUGCUGUAUUUCGAAUUUCAAUAUGUGUCUAGUAUCAUUUUCUGUAUCCUGUAUUUUAAAACUAAAAACUAAAAACAGUAAUAUGCGUUUGGUAGACACAGUUGAAAAUUAGGGGUGGGCAAUAGUCGGUUCGGCCGAGCCGAGCCGAACCGAACCAAAACCAAUCGGUUCUUUAGAAGAUGAACCGAAUAGGGACCGAAUUUAGGAACCGAACCGAACCGAACCGAAAUAUUUCGGUUCGGUUCGGUUCGGUUCCUAAAUUCGGUCCCUAUUCGGUUCAUCUUCUAAAGAACCGAUUGGUUUUGGUUCGGUUCGGCUCGGCUCGGCCGAACCGACUAUUGCCCACCCCUAAUUUUCAACUGUGUCUACCAAACGCAACUACGCACAGGAUCCUUCAACAACGUUCUUCCAAAGAUUGGUGUAGGUAACAAGUUCUGUGCUGCCACCCAACUUCGAAAAACUUCCCACACACACAUUCCCCCACACACACCCACACCCACACCUAGUAGCCCUGCUGUACGGCCAAGGCGGAUGUACGGUACAGCAGAUGACACACACACACACACACACAUAUAUAUAAAUCGGUCUCAAGUUAGUCUUGACUGUAAAAUCCAUUUUGUGGCGAAGUGCAAAGUAUGACAAGAGAUGACAAGGCAAAAGCAGCCAGCCAAUAUAACAAGAUAAUAAAUAAUAGUAUCACCACCAAUCUAGCGAGUUCACUUCGUUUAUCCUUAAUGAAGUCAAGCAUGACAAUGCCAAAAGAUAGUCAAUCAUAAUUAAAAUUCAAAACAAGUGAAAAAAAAUCAUCAUAAAACCUUGAAAAUCAUUGUAGACAAGGUUCCAUUAUCCAUAGCAACAAAAGUCAUGGCAACUAAUUAUAACCACUGAUCUCCAAAGGGCACCAUACACUAUCAUAAUUGAAGUAUUCUGCUGCUUGACUUACAACAUCAAGAACAUCAGGUCAAAAAGGGCCAGAAUCCUUUCAGCUUGUUAGUCUGCUACUGUCAUGAUGCAAACCACUCACUGGCAGGCAUCUGUUUUUAGAAAAAAAAAGACUUCGACCUGUAAUCAUCAAAUCGUAAUUUAGCAAUCAGCAAUUCAAAUCCGCUACAGGGUUGAGCAACCUUUUGCAAAUCAAAAAGUUUGCACUAAUUCACAUAAUACAACUAAUACUAAAAUGAAUCUAAAACUCAGAUCAGGAAGUGGUCAAAGCCAUUAAAGGAAUGGUCAGAGUGUAACAAGCUACCAGGUGUUAACAAUGGAGGGAAGUGGUACAGUGUGCUUGAAUAUGCAAAAACAAUCAGAGUCUACCAACUGCAAUGAACUGGAUGCAGUAGGAAAUGCAUUAGUUGCCACCGUUAAGAAGAUAACCGUUGCCCACAGACAACAACAGUGUUGGAUACAUCCUAAGAAGAAACAGGGUACCUUCACUUUAUCUCUUUUAAGAAGAUUAAACAGUUCAAUAUGGAGGUAUAACAGAAACAGUGGACUACACUGAAGAAGAUAUUCGAUUGAAAAUUAAGGAGUUGAUUAAAUCUUUAAGAUACUGAGACAGCAUAGUUUUUUAUGAAUGGAAACAAAAUAGUAGCCAUGUUGCAAGUUACAAAUUCAGCCUGGAAGCAGAAUUUUUUUUUGCGACAAGGAUGGCAUGAAGAUGACCGGCGUCGCACGAGCUUUCAAUCGGUACCAACCUUGGUCGGAGGAGUGGCCGGAAACGGAGACAAAAUCCGAGUUGGGUUCGUGGGUAUUGUGAUAAAGAGAGGGGUAUUGUGAUGUAUGUGCAAUAUAGAAUAAAAAUGUGUAAAUAGUAAAUAGUUUAAGGUGCUAAGUAAAAUGUUCAUAUGGAUGCAGUAGAAAUUAACUUAAUAUUUAUAAAGUAAAGAUUAAAUAAAAUUGAGUAAAAUGGGUUCUAUAAAAAUUUACAAUUGUGCUGACAAAAAGACAAAAAUAGUGGUACGGUACCACUGUGGUACCGUAGCUUGAUCCUCCUUAAAGUUUGAAUUAAUGAUAGAAUUACACAAAUAUUUUACUUUAGUGGGCUUAUUGAUGACAUGCGUAUCAUUUUUGUCAAUUUAUAGUUGUAAAUUUAUAUUUUUAAAAUGUAUUUUAAUCAUCAUUCCUACUUACCUCACAAAGUUGCUUUGUUUUCCCAAAAAAAGAAAAAGAAAAAAACCGUUUGAAAUAUUUUUUACGUGAUGCAUAAUUAUUGUGAGAAAAUAUAUACGAUGUUUGGGUGUUGUUUUACCAAUUUUCUAUCUAAAUAUGCAUAUGAAUAAACAUGUGAUUGACUUGUAAAAAUAAUGUGGUACUUUAAAUGUACAAAAUCGAUUAUGGAAUGCAAUUUAAUAUGCUCUAUAUUACUUUGAAGUUGGACACCGCGGUUAACUAACUACAAUAUGCACUAAAAAGGUGCUAUUGAAAUGAAUAUGUGAUUUUAAUCAUUUUAAAAUCUGAAAUUUGUGAUCUAAAACAUUUCGGGCAGAUGUUUAAUCGCAGCAGUUAUCUUUCACAAAUUAAAAAUUUUUACAUCAAAUUUUUUAGAGUAAUGAUACAGCCACAAACUCUUGUACAAACUUAUUUUGUACAAACUGACGUGGCAUGAUAAGAUUGGUUGAAUGAAAAUAUAAAUUAAUAAAAACAAAUCAUGUGGGCCAAGUGAUAUUUAAUUCAACCAAUCUUAUCAUGCCACAUCAGUUUGUACAAAAUAAAUUUGUACAAGAGUUUGUGGCUGUAUCAUUACUCAAUUUUUUAUUUUAUUUUAAGUGGUCGUCAAUUUAUCUUCCAUUCCUAGUUUUUUUUUUAAAUACCGAUAAUACACCAGAUUAUUGAAUUACAUUAGAUAUUUACAAUUGUUAUUACAAUAGAUAAUUAUAUUGAUAUUUAUAAUCAGACAUAUAAUUGGAGGUAUUAAAGUACCUUGUCCAGAUAAAUAACCCUCACAAACGAAGAAUAUUUCUACUCCAUUCUUAUUUCAUAAGGAAAAGAACUUACAAAUAAAUCUACACAAUUAUACAUAAUUCUUAAUUCUCAUUACCCUCAUUAUCUGUGAGGGUAAUGAGGGUAAAAGUUCACCGGUCCAGUGCUAUGCUAGUUAAGUGAUUGUGAUCUAACCAUUCGGGAAAUCUCAAUAGACCUUGUAUUUCGGUCGUUUUACAUUUUCCAUGACCAAUGGGCCAGCGCCACAAAAUAAAUUAAGAUUUAAAAUAACUAACAUAAAUGAUUAUUUAAUUUAAUAAUACUAGGGGAAAAAAAAGAGAGUAAACAAAUUCCAAGGACUUGACUUUUCUUUUUGAACAGUAUGCCAGGAAAAAAGUAACAAUUGCUAUGUCUCUCAUGUUUGCCACAAGGCAGACCACUCAAUUAGUUUCAUUACUUCCCUUUUUCUUGGUUUUGAUUAAAUAUAUAUAUAAUUACCAUUUAAUUUUAGAUCCGCCGUAAAAUUUUAUAACAUGGGUACAUUUAUGAUGACAAAAACAUUAAAAAAGAGGAAAAAAAACAUGAUCCAUAGCAUAUGCAUUUAUAAAUAUAAUUCAUAUUCAAACAAUGAGCCUCAUAAUUUAUUUGUUGCUAAUUAAACUAGCGGGAUACUAUAAUUUAUUAAUGCCAACGAAGCGACACAGUACAAAUAGACUUGCACUUGUGAGCUCCGUAGCUGAUGAUUGUCUUGGGUGCUUUGAUCCUGAAGUAGCCGUUCUUGUCCGUUUUGCCAACCACAUUGAGUGGAUACUUGGUGUUGUUGCACUGCAAUUUCAGAGUCGCCCCUGCAAUUGAACCCAUGGACAAUAUUAAAAGAAUAAAAAAAAAUUUAAAUACUAGGGACUUCAAAAAGAGAGCUUGAAAAAGGAAAAAGUAGCUAGCUAUGCUGCCAUAACCAUGCCUCCUACUGAAUGUGACAUAAACCUAGAACAAAGAGAAAGAAAGAGAUCAAGAGCACCUCUCUCUCUCUCCAUUCAAAAUCUGGAAAUGUAUACAUCACGCAUCCAUGAAAACAAAUGCACAUUCGCAUCCAUACGUAUGUUAUGUAUGCAUGAUAUCUAACUAAACAUACAUGUGAAAUUAAUUGAAGUAAUAAUGAUAGAAAAAAAUCAAGUAUGUAAGAGUUUGGAGCAGGGAAAAUUAAGUUGAAAGAUUUCGAAACUGACCUAGAACAGCGGUAGCUCCUAGGAGGGUAUCAGCUCCUGCGUACUUGCAAGACUUGCAAUAAACGACGCCUUGAACUUCAACAAGGCUCCUAGGGAAACGAUGGGUGGGUGUGGGUGGGUGAGCAGGAGCAACGUGUGGUGGAGGUGGGUGAGCAGGAGCAACGUGCGGUGGAGGUGGGUGAGCAGGAGCAACGUGUGAAGGUGGGUGAGCAGGUGCAUGAGCGGGAGUGUGAGCCGGUGCAUGAGCCGGCGGGUGGGGGUGGUGGUGAUGAUGGUGGUGGCUUGGGGCGUGAGCCGGUGGGGCAGUAGGAGGGUGGCUGUGGUGGUGGUGGUGGUGGUGAUGGUGGGGGCUUGGUGCCGUUGCCGGGGUUACCGAGUGGUAG